CACGUAGGGGGCGAGCGUUGUCCGGAUUCAUUGGGCGUAAAGGGCGCGCAGGCGGCCCGGAAAGUCGGAUGUGAAAACUCGAGGCUCAACCUCGAGCGUGCACCCGAUACUGCCGGGCUUGAGGCAGGUAGGGGAGAUCGGAAUUCCUGGUGUAGCGGUGAAAUGCGCAGAUAUCAGGAGGAACACCGGUGGCGAAGGCGGCAUCCUGGACCGACACUGACACUGAGGAGCGAAAGCCAGGGGAGCAAACGGG
rnacentral:rRNA from 1 species